CCUACGGGAGGCAGCAGUAGGGCAUCUUCCACAAUGGGCGAAAGCCUGAUGGAGCAACGCCGCGUGGGUGAAGAAGGUCUUCGGAUCGUAAAACCCUGUUGUUAGAGAAGAAAGUGCGUGAGAGUAACUGUUCACGUUUCGACGGUAUAUAACCAGAAAGCCACGGCUAACUACGUGCCAGCAGCCGCGGUAAUCCGUAGGUGGCAAGCGUUAUCCGGAUUUAUUUGGCCUAAAGGGAACGCAGGCGGUCUUUUAAGUCUGAUGUGAAAGCCUUCGGCUUAACCGGAGUAGUGCAUUGGAAACUGGGGGACUUGAGUGCAGAGGAGGAGAGUGGAACGCCAUGUGUAGCGGUGAAAUGCGUAGAUAUUAGGAGGAACACCAGUGGCGAAGGCGGCCUGCUGGGCUUUUACUGACGCUGAGGCUCGAAAGUGUGGGGAGCAAACAGGAUUAGAUACCCCAGUAGUC
rnacentral:rRNA from 1 species